UAGUAAUAAGAAUUAGGAUCGUGUUUUUUUUUUAAAUCCUGGAUAUUAAUUGGAACCCUUGAUAACAUUACUGCUUUUGAUAUAAAAAGUGCAUUUUUGAUUAUUUACUUGGGCUAGGAUAUUAAAAUAUCGGUUGGAUUGUACGACAUAAAUAGAUGUAGUUUUUGAUCAGACAUUUAAUUUUAUUUGUGAAAUGCCCACAAAAAAGCUUCCCAUGAUUCAACAUCAGUGUGUUUGCUGCAUAAUGGAUCAUUCCUGCUGAAUUUUUAGAUCAUUUGAAGACUACACG
rnacentral:lncRNA from 1 species